rnacentral:rRNA from 1 species
UACGGAGGGUGCAAGCGUUGUCCGGAAUCAUUGGGCGUAAAGCGCGCGUAGGCGGCCCCGUAAGUCCGCUGUGAAAGUCAAAGGCUCAACCUUUGAAAGCCGGUGGAUACUGUGGGGCUAGAGUCCGGAAGAGGCGAGUGGAAUUCCUGGUGUAGCGGUGGAAUGCGCAGAUAUCAGGAGGAACACCAAUAGCGAAGGCAGCUCGCUGGGACGGUACUGACGCUAAGGCGCGAAAGCGUGGGGAGCGAACAGG